CUGGACUUUUGUGUGUUGAUUCAG
rnacentral:siRNA from 1 species